rnacentral:rRNA from 1 species
AACGAACGCUGGCGGCAUGCCUAACACAUGCAAGUCGAACGCGUGUAGCGAUACACGAGUGGCGGACGGGUGAGUAACGCGUGGGAACCUGCCCAAUGGUAGGGAAUAACUGCGGGAAACUGCAGCUAAUACCCUAUGCUCCCUACGGGGGAAAGAUUCAUCGCCAUUGGAGGGGCCCGCGUCGGACUAGCUAGUUGGCGGGGUAAUGGCCCACCAAGGCUACGAUCCGUAGCUGGCUGAGAGGAUGAUCAGCCACACUGGGACUGAGAUACGGCCCAGACUCCUACGGGAGGCAGCAGUGGGGAAUAUUGGACAAUGGGGGAAACCCUGAUCCAGCAAUGCCGCGUGAGUGAAGAAGGCCUUAGGGUUGUAAAGCUCUUUUCGGCGGGGACGAUGGUGACGGUACCCGCAGAAGAAGCCCCGGCUAACUUCGUGCCAGCAGCCGCAGU